rnacentral:misc_RNA from 1 species
ACAUCCUGGGCUGGUGCUGGUGAAAAGCAGCAGAGGUGCAAACACUGAAGGAGAAUAAUGCCUGUCAGAAAUGUGAGAAGAAAGGAAGAACUACAGCAACACACUGCAAUCUCAUUCAGUUUGAUCAUGGGCCCUCAAAACGUAAAUGGGCGUCUGUUGCCCCUGCAUCUAUGACAGUGCAGCAGUGAGGAUGAUACUGAGAUGGAGGAAGACGGAGAUGGUGCCUGUGGUAACGACAUGGGUUAUGUUCCAGAAGAAGAAUCGGGUGAAGAAUCAGGUGGAGAAGAUGAAGUCCAAUUUGAAAAUGAGAUUUGAGUAAAUACGGUGUGACCAAAAUGAAGACCUGCAUCAGCAAAAGAAGUAUAUAGUCUUUGAAUCUUCAUUGUUGAUACUGCUGGCAAAUUGUGACUUGUGCAAAGGGAAGACAAGCUGUUUUCGUUACUUGAAAGGAACUCUUAUAAAGGUCCAUGCAGUUUGUACAAGUUGUGGCCAUAAGAAAUACUGGUGCAAUCAGCCCUUUGUUAGAAAUAUGAGUCAUGAACUUGCUUCUCAGUGCAGCCAUUCUAUUUACUGGCAGUUUGCCAAGCAAGACCUUCAGAAUAUUCAGUUUUUUUAAUAUUCAGUGCCUCAAGAUUGGACCUUUUUCAUCAUCAACUUACACAUCCAUGAUGCAGUAAGCAUAACAUGGAAAAAGAAACGUAGUGUACUGCUCUCUUCGCUUGUGGAAAAAGAUAUGGUACUCUGAGGUGAUGCAAGAUGUGAUAGCAUGGGUCAUUGUGCCAAGUAUGUUAGCUACACUUUAAUAGAACUGGAUAUAAAUAAGGUGUUGACAGUUCAGUUAGUACAGAACAAUGAAUCUGGAGGGAGUUAUGGAAUGGAACUCGAAGGUCUGAAGAGGUGCCGUAGAGACAUUGGAGAGUAUAGAGUGAAAGCUGUAGUCACUGACUGAUGACAUCACCAGGUUACCAAGUGAAUUAGAGAAAAAUGGGGUGUAACAGAUUACUUUGAUUCCUGGCAUAUUAUUAAAGGUCUAUGCAAAAAGCUUGAGGCACUUGGAAAAAAGACAAUGAAUGUCAAGUCGUGGAUACAGAGCAUCAAGUGCCACUUAUAAUGGUGUGCUCUGUCAUCCCAAAACAGAGAUGAAAUUAAACAGAAAUGGCUUGCUUGUGUCAACCACAUACAAAAUGUACACGAUAAAUGCACUCAUCCACCAAUAACUUGUAACAAAGAGUGGAUACUGCCAGGGACAGGCUAAUGUUGAGGUUGUCGACCUGCUGACAAAAACUAUGCUCAUCAAUGAAAUUGGCAAAAUGUCCAACCUAGGACCAACAAGUGGAGUUGAGGCCUACCACAGUGUGGUCAAUCAUUUUGCCCCAAAAAUGUACAAAUUCUCUUAUAAAGGAAUGAU